GGGCCGGUAAAAACUCGUGCCAGCCACCGCGGUUAUACGAGAGGCCCUAGUUGAUAGACACGGCGUAAAGGGUGGUUAGGGAUAACUAUUAAUUAAAGCCGAAGACCUCCAAGUCCGUCAUACGAUCUCGAAGGCACGAAGUCCCGACACGAAAGUAGCUUUAUUACCCCCGACCCCACGAAAGCUAAGAAACAAACUGGGAUUAGAUACCCCACUAUGCUUAGCCUUAAACCUAGAUGUCAAACAUACAAGUAACAUCCGCCAGGGAACUACGAGCGCUAGCUUAAAACCCAAAGGACUUGACGGUGUCUCAGACCCACCUAGAGGAGCCUGUUCUAGAACCGAUAAUCCUCGU
rnacentral:rRNA from 1 species